UUCCUGGUGAUCCAGUGGUUAAGACUCUGCAUUCCCACUGCAGAGGGCACAGGUUCAAUCCCUGGUCAAGGAA
rnacentral:tRNA from 1 species